rnacentral:rRNA from 1 species
GACGAACGCUGGCGGCGUGCUUAACACAUGCAAGUCGAACGGAAAGGCCCUGCUUGCAGGGUACUCGAGUGGCGAACGGGUGAGUAACACGUGGGUGAUCUGCCCUGCACUUCGGGAUAAGCUUGGGAAACUGGGUCUAAUACCGGAUAGGAGCCAUCUUUAGUGUGGUGGUUGGAAAGUUUUUUCGGUGUAGGAUGAGCUCGCGGCCUAUCAGCUUGUUGGUGGGGUAUGGCCUACCAAGGCGGCGACGGGUAGCCGGCCUGAGAGGGUGUACGGCCACAUUGGGACUGAGAUACGGCCCAGACUCCUACGGGAGGCAGCAGUGGGGAAUAUUGCACAAUGGGCGCAAGCCUGAUGCAGCGACGCCGCGUGGGGGAUGAAGGCCUUCGGGUUGUAAACUCCUUUCGCUAGGGACGAAGCUUUUUGUGACGGUACCUAGAUAAGAAGCACCGGCUAACUACGUG